ACUACCCCAGCCACCCAACAAUUGUUGUUUACACGCCUUGAGUUGAGGGGGAAAGGAAUUUGCAUAAAGCAGCCUUGUCGGGGAUAUGGAGGAGUCCCCGGCGGAGUCGGAUGGCGAUGACGAUGUCGCCAACUUGUUAGCGGACGCUGGCAUUUUUACUUCAUAUGCAGAGAUAAUGUGCCGCCCAUUGCCACCCAAUGGCCACGUCCGUGCUAUCCCCAUUUCACCCCUUCUAUCACCCACACACAUGUCAGUCGCGGUCUCCGUGCUCCGUGUUCCUUCUUCUUGCUUCGUAUUCCGUAUUCCGUGCAAUGUCAUGGCUGCAUGCGUGGCUAAGGGAGCAAAACUUCCAAACCUUUGCGAGAUGAUAUGGAGAGCCGUCGCAGAGGACUUUUUUAGUGAUUAGCGAUACGGUCCUAAAAAUAUGUUUUCUUAAAUUUCGGACUUGAAAU
ensembl:ncRNA lncRNA:CR43718 long non-coding RNA:CR43718